UACGUAGGGGGCAAGCGUUGUCCGGAUUUAUUGGGCGUAAAGAGCUCGUAGGCGGCUUGGCAAGUCACGUGUGAAAUCUCCAGGCUCAACCUGGUGAUGCCACGUGAGACUGCUAUGGCUAGAGUCCGGUAGGGGACCAUGGAAUUCCUGGUGUAGCGGUGAAAUGCGCAGAUAUCAGGAGGAACACCAGUGGCGAAGGCGGUGGUCUGGGCCGGUACUGACGCUGAGGAGCGAAAGCGUGGGGAGCGAACAGG
rnacentral:rRNA from 1 species